rnacentral:rRNA from 1 species
GACGAGCCACACGAACGUUAUUCGGAAUUACUGGGCUUAAAGGGUGCGUAGGCGGUGCGGAAAGUUGGGUGUGAAAGUCCCUCGGCUCAACCGAGGAACUGCGCCCAAAACUACCGUACUUGAGGAAGAUAGAGGUGAGCGGAACUCACGGUGGAGCGGUGAAAUGCGUAGAUAUGUGGAGGAACACCGAUGGCGAAGGCAGCCCCCUGGGUUAACACUGACGCUCAUGCACGAAAGCGUGGGGAGCAAACAGG